GGGGUGAGCUGAACUGUCGCCAGUAUGACUGGAGGAAAGUCCGGGCUCGGGAUGGUGCAGUGCCGGUUAAUAACCGGAAAUUCCAGGUUAUCUGGAAUGAUAGCUAGCGCAACAGAAAGAUACCGCCACCUUAUGGAUAGCAUAAGGUGGUAAGGGUGAAAUGGCGGGGUAAGAGCCCACCACAUUGCUUGCAAAAGUAAUGGUAUGGCAAGCCUCACUGCGAGCAAGCUCAAACAGUAUGUGUAUUACCAGUACAGUGUCUUUAUUCUUGUAAGGAUGCGACAUACGGGUCGGGCGCGAGACAUUGUCUAAAUAGCAAUGCAAGAUAGAUGACAGUUGCAGUGUUAUACUGAACAGGACCCGGCUUAUAGGCUCACCCCUUUU
rnacentral:RNase_P_RNA from 6 species